UUUUUCUUUAGAACUAAGAAUGGCUUCUUCAAGGGUACUUUUGAUCCUGUCAACUCAUGAUACCCAACGGUGAAUGUGUACUUACCCUGAAGAAUAGAAACCCAAGAAAGAGUACCUCAUUAUCUCAAAGUCUGAAUUCUUCAGAAAGAGAAG